rnacentral:rRNA from 1 species
CCUACGGUGGGCUGCAGUGAGGAAUAUUGGUCAAUGGGCGCGAGCCUGAACCAGCCAAGUAGCGUGAAGGAUGACUGCCCUACGGGUUGUAAACUUCUUUUAUGAAGGAAUAAAGUGCGGCACGUGUGCCUUUUUCUAUGUACUUUAUCAUUACGGAUCGGCUAACUCCGGGCCAGCAGCCGCGGUAAUCCGGAGGUUCUGAGCGUUAUCCGGAUUUAUUGGGGUUAAAGGGAUCGUAGAUGGGUUGUUAAGCCGGUUGGGAAAGUUUGCGGGUCAAACGUAAACUUGCAAUUGAUACUGGCAGUCUUGAGUGCAGUUGAGGUAGGCGGAAUUCGUGGUGUAGCGGUGAAAUGCUUAGAUAUCACGAAGAACUCCGAUUGCGAAGGCAGCUUACUAAGCUGCCACUGACAUUGAUGCUCGAAAGUGUGGGUAGCAAACAGGAUUAGAUACCCGGGUAGUC